rnacentral:rRNA from 1 species
UAGUCUACGCCGUAAACGAUGGGCACUAGGCGGUGGAGGCGGUUAUAGCUUUCUCCGUCGUAGCAAAUGCGAUAAGUGCCCCGCCUGGGGAGUACGGUCACAAGAUUAAAACUCAAAGGAAUUGACGGGGGGCUCACACAAGCGGUGGAGGAUGUGGCUUAAUUCGAGGCUACGCGAAGAACCUUACCUAGGCUUAACAUGCACUGGAAUCCCGGUGAAAGUCGGGAGUGCCCUUCGGGGAACCUAUGCGUAGGUGCUGCAUGGCUGUCGUCAGCUCGUGUCGUGAGAUGUCGGGUUAAGUCCCUUAACGAGCGAAACCCUUGUCCUUAGUUGCCAGCGAGUCAAGUCGGGGACUCUAAGGAGACUGCCGGUGUUAAACCGGNGGAAGGUGGGGAUGACGUCAAGUCCUCAUGGCCUUUAUGCCUAGGGCUGCACACGUCCUACAAUGCGGCGUACAAGCGAUGCGAAAUCGUGAGAUCAAGCAAACCGCAAAAACGCCGACCCAGUUCGGAUUGCAGGCGU